GUGACCAAUAUGUUUGGCAAGGUCCCUCCCUCACUAUGGUGAUAAUAUCGUAUCGUGACCAAUAUGUUUGGCAAGGUCCCUCACUCACUAUGGCGAUAAUAUCGUGACCAAUAUGUUUGGCAAGGUCCCUCACUAUGGCGAUCGUAUCGUGACCAAUAUGUUUGGCAAGGUCCCUCACUAUGGUGAUCGUAUCGUGACCAAUAUGUUUGGCAAGGUCCCUCACUAUGGCGAUAAUAUCGUGACCAAUAUGUUUGGCAAGGUCCCUCACUAUGGCGAUCGUAUCGUGACCAAUAUGUUUGGCAAGGUCCCUCACUAUGGCGAUAAUAUCGUAUCGUGAGGCCCCUGACCAUUCACAAACCUAGUUUCUAUUAGACAAAUUCAGGUAGGUCCCUCCCUGUUUCCUUCGCUUCCAUUUAAUUCUGUUUGGUUCCUAGUGAAUACAGCCAUGAUUUGUUAAAUACCUUUUCAUAUGUGUUGUAAUAUCUGUCAUGCAGGGCCUGUCUGCGAUGUAUUCGGACAGGAACUCAACCCUUAAAAAACGACAGCCUACUAUCAAAUCAAAUGUAUUUAUAUAGCCCUUCGUACAUCAGCUGAUAUCUCUGUGCUGUACAGAAACUGUACAGAAACCCAGCCUAAAACCCCAAACAGCAAUGCAGGUGUAGAAGCACGGUGGCUAGGAAAAACUCCCUAGAAAGGCCAGAACCUAGGAAGAAACCUAGAGAGGAACCAGGGUAUGAGGGGUGGGCCAGUCCUCUUCUGGCCGUGCCGGGUGGAGAUUAUAACAGAACAUGGCCAAGAUGUUCAAAUGUUCAUAAAUGACCAGCAGGGUCAAAUAAUAAUAAUCACAGGCACACACUAUGUGUGUGAUGAACAGUUUCCUGGCACAAUUACCCAUGUUUCCACCAGUUUGGUUAUGGGGGUUUACAGGUUAUGAUAGUGCUGUACAACUUCAAUCUAUGGACUUCUCAUCUGUCAAGGUCACAAUGAGAAUGUUAUGUAAUAAAUCAUUGUUUCUUCCCGAUUGAUCCUCUCUACUACUUUAUUGCGAGUCAUGUGGCUUUAAAUCAUUAUAAUUAUUAUAAUGGCGCCGGAGGAGAUGUUGUACGUAAUGUUUCUGCUCCAUGAA
rnacentral:lncRNA from 1 species